AUUUUGAAUGAUUUCCAAUAUCAAAUCAGCUUUGCAUCUCUGGAAUCAACUUAUUUGGACAUGACUGAAUGGAAGUGUGAGUGAUCAAUACUACUGGGCUGUGGUGAAAGUCCUGAUACUCUACAAUGUUUCCUCUGACACCAUCCAAAAGAGGAAGACAUGAGAAGGGAACCUGAGAACACUGCUUAGGUAGCAAUCUGUAUUCCUCGCUGUGGUCACUGCUUUUCCAGAGGGGUAUGGGUUUGCCUGGCUAUUGCCUGGUAGGGAUGUAAGGUCUGGACUUAUAACUAUAUUUCUUUGAUACCACCUUAGUAAGAGUUCUGGGGUGUCUAAUUUUGGCCUGAAGAGCAUGAAAUCUUAAAUUUCCUACUAGGUCUGUUGUGGUAUGGGUACAAAUAGGGGGACUUAUAUUUUUUCUGAAAUAUUUGUCUGUAUAGUGCAAUUAUUGUCUAAAGGUUUUGUCUGUACCCUUUGGUAUUUCCAGUUGUCAGUUUCUUUGGCUCUAAAUUCAUGAUAUAGAAAGAAAAACAAACAAAAAGAAAAACAAGGAUCUCACUAUCCUGUAGUUCCUUGGGUCCAGAGGUCUCUAUUUAGUCCUGUUUUUUCUCUGCCUUUCAGAGUCUUCUUAUAAUUUUCAUAUGUAUUGCCUAAGGUUUUUAUUUGUACUUAGCAGAAAGAGUAGGGAAAAUACAACUACUGCAACUUUCUAGAAGUCUUAUAAAAUCUUUUUAAGCAUAAAAACCGUAAAGUCAUAUAUACUUGUGUGUCCAUUAAUCUAUAUUAUCUGUAUUUUGUACAUGUAUAGAGAGGUUUCUAACAAUAUUUGAAAAAUUUAACUAUAUCUGCUGUUUUAAGUACCAACUCGUUAUUUCAUCCACUCAAAGUUAAACUUUUAAUCAUGUAUGUGUUAUUCUGUUCUCUGUCAUCUGCAAAUUUGGUAUUUUCCAUAGAUUGAUUAAAAUUAUUGAUAAAAUGUUGAUAAAACAGAAGAUAGGACUCCAGAUAAAGCUAUGACAUACUGUAUUUUAUCAAUUACUUAUUUAUAUGUACAUCCAGCAACUGCUUUUUCAAUGUUUUUUCAUGACCAGUGAUUGUAUUAAUUAAUGGCCAUAAAAAUCUAAAAAGCAAACAAAAACACAAAAACAAAAAUACAAACAAACAAAAAAUGAAAACCACCUUCUAUUCCCCGAAGUUUAUACAUCUGGUAAGUGAAGUAGAGAGAUGCUCAUGCAUGC
rnacentral:lncRNA from 10 species